CGGACGGGUGAGUAACACGUGGAUAACCUACCUAUAAGACUGGGAUAACUUCGGGAAACCGGAGCUAAUACCGGAUAACAUAUUGAACCGCAUGGUUCAAUAGUGAAAGACGGUUUUGCUGUCACUUAUAGAUGGAUCCGCGCCGCAUUAGCUAGUUGGUAAGGUAACGGCUUACCAAGGCAGCGAUGCGUAGCCGACCUGAGAGGGUGAUCGGCCACACUGGAACUGAGACACGGUCCAG
rnacentral:rRNA from 1 species